UAGAAUGUGGUGUAAAGGAAACACAGAGAAUUUUGAGUUCCUACAUGUAGGUUCAGUUCUUAUUGUUCUAG
rfam:Monodelphis domestica chromosome X, whole genome shotgun sequence.